UACGGAGGGAGCUAGCGUUGUCCGGAAUCACUGGGCGUAAAGGGCGCGUAGGCGGCCUGAUCAGUCGGGGGUGAAAGCCUGUGGCUCAACCACAGAAUGGCCUUCGAUACUGUCGGGCUUGAGACCGGAAGAGGUAAGUGGAACUGCGAGUGUAGAGGUGAAAUUCGUAGAUAUUCGCAAGAACACCAGUGGCGAAGGCGGCUUACUGGUCCGGAUCUGACGCUGAGGCGCGAAAGCGUGGGGAGCAAACAGG
rnacentral:rRNA from 1 species